AGGAGGAGGCAUCUACUAUCAAGGCCGCAGGAAAAGCUUGAGAAAUGCCUGUUGAUAAAUCUUGGAUGCAAUCUGGGAGGUCGUCAGAAGAUUAUUUUGUAGGAGUUGAAAGUUUUCUCAAUUAUGCAUACAACCAUGUUAAGCCGGAUGAUUCUAAGAUCUUCUGUCCUUGCUCUAAAUGCAGUAAUAGAUAUAGACAUCUGAGGUAUGAGGUACACAAGCAUCUUCUUUAUAAUGGAAUUAAACUAAAUUAUACUACAUGGUAUUUGCACGGUGAGGGUGAGGAUGAGGAUAUUGAUGAAAGUGAUGAUAGUGAUGAAAGUGAUAGUGACAAUGAUGGACAUGAUGUGGCCAGUAUGGAGUAAGAUGAUGAUAUGCAUGGUUUAAUAGAAGAAGGUUGUCCACAAGAUCCAAAUGGAGAUGCGCACAAGUUUUACAAAUUGUUAGAAGAGGCAGAACAACCAUUGUACGCUGGUUGUGAAUCAUAUUCUAAUUUGUCUUUUGUUGUGAACCUUAUGCAUAUCAAGGGUAUUGGUACUAUGAGCAAUAAAGCAUUUGAUUUAGGUCUUUAUUAUGAUAAAAUAGAUGCAUGCAAUAAUGAUUGCAUCAUUUAUUAUAAGGAGCAUGCAAAUGCAACGCAGUGUCCUACAUGUAAGCUUUCGAGAUGGAAGAAACAAGGAAAGGGUAGCAAAAAGAAAGGUAAAAAGGUUCCAUGGAAGGUGCUUAGAUAUUUUCCACUCACACCAAGACUUCAAAGAUUAUUCAUGUCAUCCAAGACAGCUGUAGAUAUGAGAUGGCAUUUUAAGGAUAGUGUAAAAGAUGGAGUGUUGAGGCAUCCAGCAAAUUCUGAGGCUUGGAAAUCGUUUAAUCAAAUUCAUGAGUCAUUUGGUAUGGAACCUCGAAAUGUAAGACUUGGUUUGGCAACAGAUGGAUUUAACCCUUUUGGGAACAUGAAUUUGC